rnacentral:tRNA from 1 species
GGGCGUGUAGCUCAUUUGGUAGAGCGCUCGCUUAGCAUGGUUAGAACCCCGUCAAGUGUUCCGGGCUAUGCGAGAGGUACUGGGUUCGAUUCCCAGCUCGUCCA